GAGGAGGAGUUGUUUAGUUCCUCAGUCGUGUCUGACUCUUUCCGACCCCAUGGACUGUAGCCCACCAGGCUCCUCUGUCCAUGGGAUUCUCCAGGCAAGAAUACUGGAGUGGGUUGCCAUGUCCUUCUCCAGGGGAUCUUCCCAACCCAGGGAUCAAAUCCAGGUCUCCUGCAUCUCCUGCAUUGUAGGUGGAUUCUUUACCACUGAGCCUUGAGAAGAAGGAGAUGGCUUACUCCAAGCACAUGAUCCAAGUAUGGCAACAUCAUUCUAACAGGAAUGUACUGAGCUGAGCUGUAAAGCAGGCAGGGAAAGGCACGGGCAGGAGAGACAGUGAUGCCCACCGCCAGGGUCUGUGGUUCUCAAACAUCGCUGUUGAGUCAGGAGCACCCGGGGCUGGUUUUCUGCAUUCCUGGCUGGAACCUACCCCGGUCCAUUGAAAACCCGCCCUCCAGAAAGGCCCUGUCACCUCACUGCUGUCCUGGGGCUGGCUCGUCCCGGUUCUGCUUCUCUCCCUGACUCUGUGUUCAGGGACAUCCGUUUGAUGGUUUAAAGUUGGCCCCCAUGUGGUAAUUCUACCACAGCCAUCAGCAAACAACUACACAUCACAAAGAUCCCCUCCUCCUCCUUCCCUAAGGGCCGGUUUACCAGCACCUUGUGGUUCAUUUAAAAAAAACUCCCCAGGUGUUUUGGUUGGGCAGCAAGUUUAAGACCAGCUGGUCAAAAGCAAGCUCUUCUUGUGGCCUGAAGCUUCCUACCAAAUAGCAUCUUGGGGCUCUAGUCCUUCCUGUGAGGCUGUGUCUGUAGAGGCCUGCUGAUUCCUUAAAGCAGGACACAUAGAAAGAGGUUUGCGGGUUAACUUACAUAGUAAAUAAAUGGCUGACCUGGAUUGAGACCCCACUGAUCCAUCUCCAGGACCAGCACAACUUCUACCUGUGCGGGCUGACUUUCCUGCACCAUAAAGGCAUACUGCACAAAGCCCAACCCAUUCCUCUCCCGCAGCGCCCACCCCGCCUUAGUUAUCUUCCAUAGCAUUAACUUGAAUGAAACUACCACCUCUCUGUGACGCACAAGUCUGGCUGGAGAGACUUCAGCAAAAUUGCAAGGUGUCAUGGGCACCUGGGGGAGAAGGCAAUGGCACCCCACCCUAGUACUCUUGCCUGGAAAAUCCCAUGGAUGGAGCCUGGAAGGCUGCAGUCCAUGGGGUCGCUAGGAGUCGGACAUGACUGAGCGACUUCACUUUCACUUUUCACUUUCAUGCAUUGGAGAAGAAAAUGGCAACCCACUCCAGUGUUCUUGCCUGGAGAAUCCCAGGGACGGGGGAGCCUGUGGGCUGCUGUCUCUGGGGUCGCACAG
ensembl:lncRNA